rnacentral:rRNA from 1 species
GAUGAACGCUAGCUACAGGCUUAACACAUGCAAGUCGAGGGACCGGCGCACGGGUGUGUAACACGUAUCCAACCCGCCCUUUACUCGGGGAUAGACUUUCGAAAGAAAGAUUAAUACCCGAUAUAAAGGAUGGGGAUGCGUUCGAUUAGGUUGUUGGUGAGGUAACGGCACACCAAGCCUUCGAUGGAUAGGGGUUCGGAGAGGAAGGUCCCCGACAUGUGAAAUGAGACCCGGUCCAAACUCCUACGGGAGGCAGCAGAGAGGAAUAUUGGUCAAGGGGCGCUAGCCUGAACCAGCCAAGUAGCGUGAAGAAUGAAGGCUUAUGGGUCGUAAACUUCUAUUAUAUAAAAAUAUGUAUUAUAUGAAUAAGGAUCGGCUAACUCCGUGCCAGCAGCCGCGGUAAUUC